GCCCACUGAUGAGAUCAUGGCAAGUAUGAGCUCGUAAGGCCUAGAGAUUGUGCUCUCAAGCCUCCUGGUUGGUGGGUAAUCUUGGCAGUAUGGCGGAGUUUUGCCACACUGCUGUAAGGGCCCACCCACAGUUAACCUGCAGCCUCUUACAUCCUCUGCCCGUCCAAAAGAUAUGGGAAAGGGUAGGUGAGAGGUUUCAGACAGUGUGGUUGUGUGUUUGUCUUUGUGUCAUGUUUGUGUGAAUGUAUGUGUACCAGCUGGCAAGAAGCUUAUCUCUUUGUUCAGGACCUUUGAUGGCUAUGAACUUGAUUCUUUGGUAAUCUGAGGGCA